rnacentral:rRNA from 1 species
AUUGAACGCUGGCGGCAUGCUUUACACAUGCAAGUCGAGCGGCAGCGCGGGGGGUAACUCCUGGCGGCGAGCGGCGACGGGUGAGUAAUGCAUCGGAACGUAUCCCGUAGUGGGGGACAACCCAGCGAAAGCUGGGCUAAUACCGCAUAUGCUCUACGGAGGAAAGCAGGGGACUCGCAAGAGCCUUGUGCUAUGGGAGCGGCCGAUGUCCGAUUAGCUAGUUGGUGGGGUAAAGGCUUACCAAGGCGACGAUCGGUAGCUGGUCUGAGAGGAUGAUCAGCCACACUGGGACUGAGACACGGCCCAGACUCCUACGGAGGCAGCAGUGGGAAUUUUGGACAAUGGGGCAACCCUGAUCCAGCCAUGCCGCGUGCGGGAAGAAGG